UACAGAGGGUGCGAGCGUUGUCCGGAAUCACUGGGCGUAAAGGGCGCGUAGGUGGUGGCUUAAGCGUGCGGUGAAAGCUCGGGGCUCAACCCCGAGUCGGCCGUGCGAACUGGGCUCACUGGAGCAUAGUAGAGGCAGGUGGAAUUCCGGGUGUAGCGGUGGAAUGCGUAGAUAUUGGGAAGAACACCGAUGGCGAAGGCAGCCAUCUGGACCGACACUGACGCUGAGGCGCGAAAGCGUGGGGAGCAAACAGG
rnacentral:rRNA from 1 species